UACAGAGGUCUCAAGCGUUGUUCGGAUUCAUUGGGCGUAAAGGGUGUGUAGGUGGCGCCGUAAGUCGGGUGUGAAAUUUCGGAGCUUAACUCCGAAACUGCAUUCGAUACUGCGGUGCUUGAGGACUGGAGAGGAGACUGGAAUUCAUGGUGUAGCAGUGAAAUGCGCAGAUAUCAGGAGGAACACCGGUGGCGAAGGCGGGUCUCUGGGCCGAAAUUGACGCUGAGGAGCGAAAGCGUGGGGAGCAAACAGG
rnacentral:rRNA from 1 species